CGUUUACGCAGCGCAUCCUGGGGGGCGGGGUCAGCAACCUCCACUGGGGAAGCCCGGACAGCGUCCUUUCUGCCCAGGGCUCCUGAGCUGCUGGCUGUGGCAUGCGAAGUGGCCUUGCAUCUCUCGGGCACCCAGUGCUGCUUGGAGGACAAGGACAGGACGCAGAGGACAGAGCCCUGCCCCCCCCCCCCCCCCCCCCCGCUUCGCUUCCAGGGAAUGUGCUGAUUUGAAAUCCAGUCGCCUGGCUAAGGGAACCUCUGCUCCCUGGUCAGCCCCUGGGCCUGGCGACCGGAGUUCCCACCGGGGAGGGCUGCGGAGGGGGGCAGGGUGGAUGUCCCCAGGCUCGGGCAGGCUGGAGGUGGAGGGGCCUGCCUUCCCUGCAGGGGCGCCUCCCGGGCAGGAGAGCUGGGCCCGAAAUGGGGCAGACAUGAGUGGGGCAGGCCAGGCCCAGGGCUGCACUGCAGAAACGGGCCCCCAUUUAGGAACAUGGACACAAGGGCAGGCAGCCUUCCCUGUGCCUGCCAGGAAAUGGCCCAUGGCCUCCAGGUUCUCCCCCGGCCUCUGGGCCUGCAGCCGUCCUGAAGAUGCUGGGGCUUCCUGUCCAGCCUCCUCUGCCGGCCUCAUCAGCUCGGCCCCAGGGAGACCCCCCCCCCCCAACCCUCCGUGUGGCCUUUUGUGGUUCCUCCGCAGGCCGGUCUCUGCAGCCUGUUGGCAUUGUUUGCACUGUCAGAGGCGGGUGUCGUCAGCACUCGGGCCCGUGGGACUGGCCCAGAAGGUCUGGCAGGGAGGAUCCAGCCUGGCCCAAGGGGCCCCAACUGUGCUGCUCCCCAAGGAGCCUGGGAUGGCAAUGCAGAGCCACUCAGCCUGUGGGCCGCCUUCCCCCUCCCCUGGGAGCCCCCCCCCCCCCGCCCAGGGACGCUGUCUGGGUCCUCCCGGGAUGUCCAUGUCCGGAGGGCUCAGGCUAGGAAUCAGCAGGCAGCCAGCUGGCUGGGACAAAGGGCUUUUCUGUGCCGGGAGCCGUCAGGAUGCAUUUCUUCACAAAGAGCCGACUCCUUCUACUAAAGUCUGCUCAGGGGCCUCUGCCAGAGGGCUCGAUGCGUCUGCCAGCUCGAGGAGCGAGGAGCAGGCAUGCGUCCAGAGGCCUGCUGUCUGGGUCCUGGGUUAGGCCACCUGGACAGAGCCUCGUGUGGGGGUCCUCCGCCCCCAAUGCAGGCAAGAUGCUGCUGGGAUGGUCUGCAGCUCCUGGGGCAGGUGGCAGGGCUCACAGGGCGCAGGCUCUGUGUCUGUCCCAUCCUCGGCCUGGCCCACGAGCUCCGUGCUUGCACUCUGAAGGCACCUGAGUUGCCACCCCACGCGCAGCCCCUUGGCUGUCGGCACAGGGACGCUUCCCUUGAGAAAGAAAAGCAACAUAGCAGUCAGUGCACGGUGGCCACAAUUCAGCCGCUGCCAGACCCUGAGCCAGGUCCCAAAUGCCCGGCUGGAAGGCCCCCCUGAGUCGAGGACUAAUACUAUCCCCACUUAGCAGCUGAGAAGACUGAGGCUCAGAGAGGCACCGCUGGCAGAGCAGAGCCAGUGUCUGAGCCCAUUUUCCUCAGCCCUGCUGCACAAGCACCCCGAUCCUCUUGCUCAGUGCAAAGACCCCUCACGCUGCAGUCUUUCACUUGGAGUGUGUUUGUAGAUAAUGAACUACUUAGCAGAGAUUCAGGCAGAGCUGGGGGGGAAGGGUCGGUGGGCAGAGACACUCAGCUGUGAAAUUGGAGUCCGGCCAGUGGUAGAUCAAUAUUCUGUCUAAAAAGAUCCUGCAGAGUCGAGGGCAAGGCCCCGCUCACAGGAAACGCAGCUCGAAGGGGUGCUCGUGAAGGUCGGGAGCAGGGCCCAGCCUUGCUCAGGUUGGCUCAGGGGACACGGGGCCCCGCGGAGACCCAGCUGUGGGAUGCCAAGAGUGUGGGGGCCAGGGGCACCUGGCCGAGCAGCAGGGCCUGGUCCUGGGGCAGCGCGGCUUAUCUGUGAUUCCACAGCAGGCCCGGGCGAGCUGUCCGUGUCUUGGGGAGGGGCUGUGUCUCCUCUGCUACUGCCCACUCCUCUCCCAUGAGGAAAACAUCCAGGGCUCUUUAAACUGCUGUGGUCUGGGGCACCUGGGUGGCUCAGUCGGUUAAGCAUCUGACGUCAGCUGGGGUCAUGAUCUCGUGGUUUGUGAGUUCGAGCCCCACGUCGGGCUCUGUGCUGACAGCUCAGCCUGGAGCCUGCUUUGGAUUCUGUGUCUCCCUCUCUCGCUGCCCCUCCCUGCUCACAUGCUCUCUCUCUCUCUCUCUCUCAAAAAUAAAUAAAUAAACAUUAAAAAAAAAAACUGGGAU
ensembl:lncRNA